GAGAGUUUGAUUCUGGCUCAGGAUGAACGCUAGCUAUAGGCUUAACACAUGCAAGUCGAGGGGUAACAGGAUUAAAGCUUGCUUUAAUCGCUGACAACCGGCGGAUGGGUGAGUAGCACGUAUCCAACCUACCGCAUACACGGGGAUAGCUUUUCGAAAGAAAGAUUAAUACCCGAUGGUAUGAGAUCAACACCUGUUGGUUUCAUUAAAGAUUUAUCGGUAUGCGAUGGGGAUGCGUUCCAUUAGAUAGUUGGUAGGGUAACGGCCUACCAAGUCAGCGAUGGAUAGGGGUUCUGAGAGGAAGGUCCCCCACAUUGGAACUGAGACACGGUCCAAACUCCUACGGGAGGCAGCAGUGAGGAAUCUUGGUCAAUGGGCGCAAUGCCUGAACCAGCCAAUUAGCGUGAAGGAAGACUGCCCUUUGGGUUGUAAACUUCUUUUAUAAGGGAAUAACGAUGACAACGAGUUUGUUAUUUGCAUGUACCUUAUGAAUAAGGAUCGGCUAA
rnacentral:rRNA from 1 species